GAUGAAGAACGUAGCGAAAUGCGAUAAGUAAUGUGAAUUGCAGAAUUCAGUGAAUCAUCGAAUCUUUGAACGCACAUUGCGCCCGCCAGUAUUCUGGCGGGCAUGCCUGUUCGAGCGUCAUUUCAACCAUCAAGCCCCCGGCUUGUGUUGGGGACCUGCGGCUGCCGCAGGCCCUGAAAACCAGUGGCGGGCUCGCUAGUCACUCCGAGCGUAGUAAUACAUCUCGCUCAGGGCGUGCUGCGGGUUCCGGCCGUUAAAAGCCUUAUUUAUCCAAGGUUGACCUCGGAUCAGGUAGGAAGACCCGCUGAACUUAAGCAUAUCAAUAAGCGGAGGA
rnacentral:misc_RNA from 1 species